AGCGAACGCUGGCGGCAUGCUUAACACAUGCAAGUCGCACGGUCGGGGGCAACCUCGGCAGUGGCGGACGGGUGAGUAACGCGUAGGUAUCUAUCCAGAGGGUGGGGGACAACCGCGGGAAACUGCGGCUAAUACCGCAUGAUAACUGAGGUUUAAAGGCGCAAGUCGCCUGGGGAGGAGCCUGCGUACGAUUAGCUAGUUGGUGGGGUAAAGGCCUACCAAGGCAACGAUCGUAGCUGGUCUGAGAGGAUGAUCAGCCACAUUGGGACUGAGACACGGCCCAAACUCCUACGGGGAGGCAGCAGGUGGGGAAUAUUGGACAAGUGGGCGAAAGCCUGAUCCAGCAAUGCCGCGUGUGUGAAGAAGGUCUUCGGAUUGUAAAGCACUUUCGACAGGGACGAUGAUGACGUACC
rnacentral:rRNA from 1 species